ACACGAAGUGAGUGGCGAACGGGUGAGUAACACGUGGGUAACCUGCCCAGAAGUAGGGGAUAACACCUGGAAACAGAUGCUAAUACCGUAUAACAGAGAAAACCGCAUGGUUUUCUUUUAAAAGAUGGCUCUGCUAUCACUUCUGGAUGGACCCGCGGCGUAUUAGCUAGUUGGUGAGGUAAAGGCUCACCAAGGCAGUGAUACGUAGCCGACCUGAGAGGGUAAUCGGCCACAUUGGGACUGAGACACGGCCCAGACUCCUACGGGAGGCAGCAGUAGGGAAUCUUCCACAAUGGACGCAAGUCUGAUGGAGCAACGCCGCGUGAGUGAAGAAGGGUUUCGGCUCGUAAAGCUCUGUUGUUAAAGAAGAACGUGGGUAAGAGUAACUGUUUACCCAGUGACGGUAUUUAACCAGAAAGCCACGGCUAACUA
rnacentral:rRNA from 1 species